UUUUUUUAAUUUAUUGGCCAAUCAACUCUCCAUCGCAUGCUUUAGCCAACCACUUUUGAGUUUCUGUCUCCCUCUUCGAUUUUUGGUGCGGACUGUUCACGUUCAAAGCUUGAUGUGGGCGAAAUGGCUGUCUAAAUAAUAUGAGAUGCUGAUUUGGAGUUCAUUACUUCAUUACCCAAAACCAAACUCAAACCUUUAAACAGAUCUUUUGCUCCUCCAUACGAUGGCUUUAGAAUCAUUUGCUUUCAAUGUUGCCCAGAAAGUCCUUGAAAAGCUAGCUUCCAAAGCCUACCAAGAAAUUUCAAUUGCGUGGGGUGUUCAAGGGGAACUGAAAAAGCUUGAGGAUGUCUUGAUGACUGUUAAAGCUGUGCUGUUGGAUGCCGAGGAGAAACAAGUGAGCAAUAAUGAUGUGCGAGUGUGGCUGAUUAAGCUUAAAGAUGUUCUUUAUGAUGCUGAAGAUGUACUCGAUGAAUUUGAAUGUGAGACUCAGAGAAAGCAAUUGCUUAAAUUAUAUGGAAGCACCACCAAAAAGGUACCCAAAAAAAUUAAUUUCAUUUACAUAUUUAUAAAUUAUUAGACUUUGUAGUACAUGUAUUAAAUUAAAAAAAUUAAACAUAAGUAAUAUAUAUAUAUUUCAUUAGAAAAAUAAAUAUAAACAUAGAUAGUUCUGUUCAGAGAUGACUAGAUAGAGUAGAAUAAUUUUCUGAGAGAUACUAAUUUAUCCUUUUUUAUUUUAGGUAAAUAAAGAAAUAUUUUGCAAUUCUAUCAUUUUAGGAUCUUAUUACCUGUAUUGUCCGCAUAAGAUAUUAAACCAUUAAACGUCAAUGAAAGAACAGACGGCACUAUUAAUCUCCAUUGAUAGAAGAUCAUUACUCAUAACUGAGUUUCUGAUAAAAUUUCAAUAAUCGAGAGAAAUAGAAACUAAGAAUCUCAUAUCUAUUUUUAAAGGAUACAAAUCUAAGAAAAGACUCAAAUAAGUUUCAAACUGACACAGUUCUAAGAGUUUAUUAAAAAAAAUAACUAAACAAUAAAAAAAACAAGAGAAUGAUCUAGGGGUAUCCACCAAUGAGAAAUUUAUCAGUGACUACUAGAAAAAA
rnacentral:misc_RNA from 1 species